AGCAGGGGAUCGCAAGACCUUGCGCUCUUGGAGCGGCCGAUGCCUGAUUAGCUAGUUGGUGAGGUAAAGGCUUACCAAGGCGACGAUCAGUAGCUGGUCUGAGAGGACGACCAGCCACACUGGGACUGAGACACGGCCCAGACUCCUACGGGAGGCAGCAGUGGGGAAUUUUGGACAAUGGGGGAAACCCUGAUCCAGCCAUGCCGCGUGAGUGAAGAAGGCCUUCGGGUUGUAAAGCUCUUUCAGCCGGAACGAAACGGUCACGGCUAAUACCCGUGACUACUGACGGUACCGGAAGAAGAAGCACCGGCUAACUACGUGCCAGCAGCCGCGGUAAUACGUAGGGUGCAAGCGUUAAUCGGAAUUACUGGGCGUAAAGCGUGCGCAGGCGGUUUUGUAAGUCAGAUGUGAAAUCCCCGGGCUUAACCUGGGAACUGCGUUUGAAACUACAGGGCUAAG
rnacentral:rRNA from 1 species